rnacentral:rRNA from 1 species
GAUGAACGCUAGCUACAGGCUUAACACAUGCAAGUCGCGGGACCGGCGCACGGGUGAGUCACGCGUAUCCAACCUGCCCUUCACCACGGGAUAACCCGGCGAAAGUCGGACUAAUACCGGAUGGUGGAGGGUGGGGAUGCGUCCGAUUAGCUUGACGGGGGGGUAACGGCACACCGGGGCUACGAACGGUAGGGGUUCUGAGAGGAAGGUCCCCCACACUGGAACUGAGACACGGUCCAGACUCCUACGGGAGGCAGCAGUGGGGAAUUUUGGACAAUGGGCGCAAGCCUGAUCCAGUCAUGCCGCGUGUCUGAAGAAGGCUUCGGGUUGUAAAGGACUUUUGUCAGGGAAGCGGUACCUGAAGAAUAAGCACCGGCUAACUACGUGCCAGCAGCCGCGGUAAUAC